GCAGUGGUUGUUCAGUGACAGAAGUCUGACCUUCCAUGCAGGAGACCUGGGUUUGAUUCCCAGCCAGUGCA
rnacentral:tRNA from 1 species